UACAGAGGGUGCGAGCGUUGUUCGGAAUUAUUGGGCGUAAAGGGCGCGUAGGCGGCGCCACAAGUCACCUGUGAAAACUCUGGGCUCAACCCAGAGCCUGCAGGCGAAACUGUGGUGCUGGAGUAUGGGAGAGGUGCGUGGAAUUCCCGGUGUAGCGGUGAAAUGCGUAGAUAUCGGGAAGAACACCCGUGGCGAAGGCGGCUCUCUGGAACGCAACUGACGCUGAGACGCGAAAGCGUGGGGAGCAAACAGG
rnacentral:rRNA from 1 species